UUGACUAAAUUCGACACUCAUUUACCUCCAUACAAAAACUCCUUGCUUGGUGAGCGAAACAACGAAAAAACGCCACCUGCUGUAUGUAGGGAGGCAGAUUUUCCGCCGAGUUGGGCCUCGCUUUCUCUUCCUGUACUCACCAACAUAUCUUUCUGCGUUGAAUAUGUCACUGCUGCAAUCCAAUUUGAAUAUAAUCAGUGCCAAUCAUCGUUGUUGGAGAAGUGGACCAUCCCUUUUAUUCCACCUGU
rnacentral:lncRNA from 1 species